GCGUGCUCGUGGGUCCAUGGCCGUGUGAAAAGCUGCGUUGAGCGCAUUAAUUCGUUAGGGUACAACCAGACAGGACGCACUUUCUCUCCGAGCUGAGCUGCCGCGAAAGUCUGCCUUGCGUUAUCGUGUGUGUACCGUUCGAACCAACUGUUUUUGUGCAAAAGAUAAGCCAGAAGCCAGAAUCAGCUAGGAAGAGUACCCCCCAACAAAAAAAAAACAGCAAAGACAGAAAGACAGAACUAUUGCUUAGAAUAAAGUUUAUAACUUUUACAACGCUCCAGCAUCCUGAGUCCUGAAUCCAGAGUCCUGAGUCCAGAACAAAACUCCAGUUUUACUCUCUGGCCAUUCUUCCGCGCGUACCAGUGUGUGUGUCUGUGUGUGUAAGUGUCCGCGUCUCUCUGCGUGUGUGUGUCCGUGUCCGUGUGCGUAUCCCAAAACUCCAGCUACAGCUCCAGCUCCAGCAAAAAAAGUGUGUGUUCAUCAAUAAAAAUAUAAGCAAGAAACAUCUGAAAUCUAACUAAAAUUCAAUUAAAUAAUAACCGCUUAAAAACCAAGAACCAAGGUCGCCGACUGUUUCCAGCUGCUGUCAUCAGAGGCGCAACGCCGACUGGGAAAGUCUACAACUAAAUAUACAACAAAUUCCACCAGAAGACCAACAGCUACAAGCAAAGCGAGCCACAAGAUACAGCAUCCACGACAGCAGCAACCUCAGCUUCAACUCUACAACAAAAUUGCUGGCUAAAAAUUAAAAAAAAAAAAACGAACGAAACAACGAUACUAAACUGAACUCAAGAAGGAUUUAAAAAG
rnacentral:sRNA from 1 species